UCCUACGGGAGGCAGCAGUGGGGAAUCUUGGACAAUGGGGGGAACCCUGAUCUAGCAAUGCCGCGUGUGUGAAGAAGGCCUUCGGUUGUAAAGCACUUUCGAUAGGGAAGAAAAGCAUGGCGCUAAUCAGUCAUGUCUUGACGUUACCUAGAGAAGAAGCACCGGCUAACUCUGUGCCAGCAGCCGCGGUA
rnacentral:rRNA from 1 species